UCCAACCUGCCGAUAACUCGGGGAUAGCCUUUCGAAAGAAAGAUUAAUACCCGAUGGUAUAAUCAGACCGCAUGGUCUUGUUAUUAAAGAAUUUCGGUUAUCGAUGGGGAUGCGUUCCAUUAGGCAGUUGGUGAGGUAACGGCCCACCAAACCUUCGAUGGAUAGGGGUUCUGAGAGGAAGGUCCCCCACAUUGGAACUGAGACACGGUCCAAACUCCUACGGGAGGCAGCAGUGAGGAAUAUUGGUCAAUGGGCGCAGGCCUGAACCAGCCAAGUAGCGUGAAGGAUGACUGCCCUAUGGGUUGUAAACUUCUUUUAUAUGGGAAUAAAGUUUUCCACGUGUGGAAUUUUGUAUGUACCAUAUGAAUAAGGAUCGGCUAACUCCGUGCCAGCAGCCGCGGUAAUACGGAGGAUCCGAGCGUUAUCCGGAUUUAUUGGGUUUAAAGGGAGCGUAGGUGGACAGUUAAGUCAGUUGUGAAAGUUUGCGGCUCAACCGUAAAAUUGCAGUUGAUACUGGCUGUCUUGAGUACAGUAGAGGUGGGCGGAAUUCGUGGUGUAGCGGUGAAAUGCUUAGAUAUCACGAAGA
rnacentral:rRNA from 1 species